AGCGAACGCUGGCGGCAGGCCUAACACAUGCAAGUCGAACGAAGUCUUCGGACUUAGUGGCGGACGGGUGAGUAACACGUAGGAACGUGCCCUUUGGUACGGAAUAACUCAGGGAAACUUGAGCUAAUACCGUAUGUGCCCUUCGGGGGAAAGAUUUAUCGCCAUUGGAGCGGCCCGCGUCUGAUUAGCUAGUUGGUGAGGUAAAGGCUCACCAAGGCGACGAUCAGUAGCUGGUCUGAGAGGAUGAUCAGCCACAUUGGGACUGAGACACGGCCCAAACUCCUACGGGAGGCAGCAGUGGGGAAUCUUGCGCAAUGGGCGAAAGCCUGACGCAGCCAUGCCGCGUGAAUGAUGAAGGUCUUAGGAUUGUAAAAUCCUUUCACCGGGGACGAUAAUGACGGUACCCGGAGAAGAAGCCCCGGCUAACUUCGUGCCAGCCGCCGCCGUAAAAC
rnacentral:rRNA from 1 species